rnacentral:rRNA from 1 species
GACGAACGCUGGCGGCGUGCUUAACACAUGCAAGUCGAACGGAAAGGCCCUGCUUUUGUGGGGUGCUCGAGUGGCGAACGGGUGAGUAACACGUGAGUAACCUGCCCUUGACUUUGGGAUAACUUCAGGAAACUUGGGCUAAUACCGGAUAGGAGCUCCUGCUGCAUGUUGUGGGUUGGAAAGUUUCGGCGGUUGGGGAUGGACUCGCGGCUUAUCAGCUUGUUGGUGGGGUAGUGGCUUACCAAGGCUUUGACGGGUAGCCGGCCUGAGAGGGUGACCGGCGACAUUGGGACUGAGAUACGGCCCAGAAUGCUACGGGAGGCAGCAGUGGGGAAGAUUGCACAAUGGGCGGAAGCCUGAUGAAGCAACGCCGCGUGCGGGAUGACGGCCUUCGGGUUGUAAACAGAUUUCGAAUGUGACGAAGCGUGAGUGACGGUAAUGGGUAAAGAAGCACCGGCUAACUACGUG